rnacentral:lncRNA from 1 species
CUCCGCGCGCCUGCCCACGCGCUCCGGUACUCGCUGCUCGCGGCUGGCCGGCUCGGGAUUCCGGGCUUUCUUCCCGAGACCGCGUCCCCCAGCUGGGCCGAAGGUGGACGCUCAGGGGCUGGAGGCUCAGCGGAAUCCCCUGCGUUCAGUAGCCCCGCUCUCCCCUGUCCCGAAGGAUUACUCUGCCCCUCAGCGGUUCCAGUGCCCUCAAAGCAAUCUGUCUCUGAAGUACUGGCUAUCUUCUGAGCGUGUGCCAGAAGAUCCAGCUUUGUUGAAAAGCGAAGCCGUUAGUCCCUUAAUACAAAGGAGACAAAUUGAUUUAUGCCUGGGGCACCAUCACCAAAAGAAGAGGAAAUGGAUGCAAGCCUUCCCAGAACAACAGCUGGGGGUUUGUGUGCUCUUUCGAAUGCUUUGU